ACCCGUGAACAAUAUUAUCUGGUUGUGGUUGGUUUUCGUUUUUGUAAUUUAUUCAAAAGCGACUUGGAGUUAUUCUCUGGCGUUUCUUCGCCGACUUCCUUGGCAAUUCCGUUCUCAACAAACCGAGCCCAAGAAAUAGAGGCAGUUUUAUCGAUGACUUCUUGGUUGUCGAGCGCUCUGGGACAUAUUUCGAGUCAAGUGAGGUACAUGUGGUAAGUGGAAUUCAUUUUUAUCAAAGUUAAUGUUAGUUAAUUGUUCAUUCCCGAAAAGAGAAGCGAACACGACCAAAUCUAUGAUUUCUCUCCUUCCUCGAUAGAAGAAAGGCUUGUUCUCCUAAAAAGCCUUCGAGUCUGUGCAUUAUCGGUGGGAAAAGCAUCGGCUCUAGCUUUUCCGAUUUAUUUUAUUUUUCGUAAACUCGAUGUACAUAAGCUUGCAUUUCCACAUAACUCUUAUAUUGUACAAAUGUUUCACCAAAAAUGAUUUGCCAUGAAAACUUGGAUGCCUAAGUAAAAARUAUAGCUAUAAAGAAACGAUAUUGRUUGAUAAUUAUCGCCAGCAGUCCCUGUUCUAAUCUUUCUAACCAACUCACUAUCCUCUAGAAAACAGACGCCAUUAUAUUCGUCCACCCCAGACUCUGAAAUUAUGAUAGUCAAAAAAUGAAAGAAAAACACACACACACACAAAACAAAACAACGUGAAACCAAGAAGGUUUCUUUUCCUCUUUUACCCACGGCUAUUUCACGACAAUUGUCGUGUAUACUCCCUUUAUUCUAAAGUAAGUCUAAAUUAACGAGAGUAACUAAUAUGAAAGCUUUUCAAUUAUUGGACUAAGAAAAUUCCGGCCUGAAAGCAAUGGCCGUUAAAUUUCAAUUCUUUUCCUUGGGUCAGCCCUCAGAUCCAAGCGUUUUUUAAAUACUAUUUCUUAGGUAUUCUAGGAAAAAAAUAUUUAUUCUGAUCACUUUUAUUGCUCGCAAGCGUUGGUGCAUGUUCUUCGUUUAGACAAACAAAAGUCUCGUCUCGUUCGUCUUCCCACAGUUUGCUUAUCGAAAUGGCGGGUUUUGGAUUUUCAGUGUAUUGGAGGAUCUUGGUCCCAGAUAACCUUUGUUCAUGAAAUUUGAAUUAUUUGCUAUAAAUAUCACUUGGUCUGUG